rnacentral:lncRNA from 1 species
CAUGCAACGAGCUCUAAAAUUUUUAAAUUCCAAAGAAAAUAUUGUGGCUAAUUCCCUGUUGCUUCUGUCGUCAAUGAAGAACACCUGCAAAAUAAAAUCCAUAUUAACCGAAACUAUGUCCGACGGAGACCCUCCGAUGCUUAAAUCAGUGAGAAAUGGUGAACAGCAGAUGAAGAAUAUUUGAAAUAACAGAAUCUCAGUCCAGAAUGAUCUUACCAAUGCUAUUCAUUUACCUCCAUUUUAUAGAUGAUUCAGAUGUAACUGUCAAGUAAGUGAUUCCGCAUCUUAUGGCACUAAAUUAUCGGAUCAUAAUCAUGGAAUUAAUGGACUGUUUAUAUCCACUAAUGAUCGUGACAUAUAGUUGAUAACCGUUUAUAACGAUUAGAUAUGUAGGUUCCACACAUUUCGGCAUCAUAUAAUCGUAGGAAAAUAAGCCGAUUAUAUAUCGGUAGUCGUGAAGAUCCGAAUGAGCAUCGGUCAGUAAUUCUGAUAUACUAAUGAUCAUUGAUCGAAUAUUAACUGAGUUGUCGUGAUUGUCUGUUGAUGGCUGAGAAUAACCGACUGUCGGUCAACUGAUUGUGAGUCAGCAUAUUAUGUUUAUGAAACCGAUCUAUAGUCGAAAUCGAGGUCAGUUGAUUUGUCCCAAUAGAAAAGAAUGUGUGAGCUACCAGCAACUUGAAAUGAACUCAUGAUACUCCAAGUAAAAAGAGUUCCUGAUGCACCA